rnacentral:rRNA from 1 species
UUUUAAUUGAAUGCUAAGAGAAUGAAACAACAAUAAAAUACUUUCUUUUAGUUAAAAAUUAAAUUUAUUUUUAUUUGUGAAGAAACAAUAAUAAAAAUUAAAGACAAGAAGACCCUAAGAAUUUUUUUCUUUAUUAAAUUUAAAUAAAUUAAUUAAAGAUUUAAUUGGGGCGAUUUUUAAAGAUUAUAAUCUUUAAUUAAAAAAAAAUAGGAACCAUUAUUAAUGGAAACUUGAUUAUAAAUACUCUAGGGAUAACAGCGUAAUAAUUUUUGACAGUUCUUAUAGACAAAAUAGUUUGCGACCUCGAUGUUGGAUUAGGAUACUUAUUUAAUGAAGAAGUUAAAUAAAGAAGUUUGUUCAACUUUUAAUUUCCUACAUGAUCUGAG